ACUUGUAUGUAUGUAAGUGCACUUAGAAAAUACUCAAAAUUGAACCUCAAACUUCAACCGAUAAGAUACCAAAUCUGUUCACCAAUUUGUUAUGGCUACCUCUGGCGCUGCAUCACCAUUAAGGAUUCAAAAUUACCAUGAAGACGGAGAGCAGAAUCUCAUCAGCCAAGAAGAACCUUCCACUUCCAGAGGUGGCUGGGGUGCUGCUAUUUUCAUCAUCUUUGUUGAGGUGGCAGAGAGAUUUGCUUACUUUGGUAUGGCUGGUAACCUCAUCACAUACCUCACAAAUGAACUCCAUGAGCCAAUCCCCAUGGCUGCAAAAAAUGUAAAUACUUGGGUUGGAGUCUCAUCUCUCCUCCCAUUACUUGGAGCCUUCAUAGCUGAUGCCUUUCUUGGCAGAUUCAGCACCAUCUUUGUCUCCUCCAUCAUAUAUUUACUGGCAAUGGUACUGCUAACCAUAACAGUUUCAGUAAUUCCUCUGCAUUAUCAGAAGGCAAUGUUCUUUGUAGCACUUUACAUGUUGUCAGUUGGACUAGCUGGGCACAAACCCUGUGUGCAAACCUUUGCAGCAGACCAGUUUCGUGAAGACUCACCGGAGGAGAAAAAGGCGAAGAGCUCAUUCUUCAACUGGUGGUACUUGGGGAUCACAGUUGGUGCCUCUGCUGCCAUUUUAGUAGUCAUAUAUGUGCAGGAUAAUGUUGGGUGGGCGGCAGGGUUUGGCAUAUUAACAGGGGCAAUGGCGGUAGCUUUGGCUGUGUUUCUGUUUGGUUACAAGAAAUACAGAAAGCAAGGACCCUUAGGCAGCCCCUUCACCACGGUGGCUCAGGUGUUUGUGGCGGCGGUGAGGAAGCGGCACAUCAAUGGAACAUCCACUGGUUUUGGUGUGUAUUCUAGAGAUGACAAGGAUCAGCAUGAGACUAGGAGGCUUUUGGCACAGACCAGUCAAUUGAGAUGCUUGGACAAGGCAAUUAUCAUCGACCAUCUUGAUGCUUCAAGCAAGAACAGAAAUCCUUGGAGAUUAUGCUCACUAAAUCAAGUAGAAGAAGUAAAGCUCGUCCUACGGCUCAUUCCCGUAUGGAUGUGUUGCUUAUUGUUUGCAGUAGUCCAAUCCUUCGUUCAGACGUUCUUCACCAAGCAAGGAAGCACGAUGGUCCGGUCAAUUGGUCCAAACUUUAAGCUUCCCCAAGCAUCACUCCAAAUAUUCCUUGGCCUCACAAUUGCAGUUGCAAUUCCAAUCUAUGACCGUGUUUUCGUCCCAACAGCCCGAAAAUUCACGGGACACUCCUCUGGCAUCACCAUCCUACAAAGAAUUGGCAUUGGCCUAUUUCUAUCCAUAAUCAGUAUGAUGGUGGCAGCUUUGGUAGAAGCCAAAAGGGUUGGCAUUGUUAUAGACCACAACCUCUUGGACAACCCGAAAGCAAUAGUGCCAAUGAGAGUGUGGUGGUUAAUUCCACAGUACAUGGUAUGUGGUUUGUCUGAUGUAUUCACAUUUGUUGGGCUCCAAGAAUUCUUCUAUGAUCAAACACCGGAGGCAAUGAGAAGCAUGGGAGCAGCAGCAUACCUCAGUGUGGUAGGUGUUGGAAACUUCAUAUGCAGUGCUAUAAUAACUUUGGUACAAGCAAUUAGCUCAAAGUCUGGUGAAAAGUGGCUUACUGACAAUCUCAAUCGUGCCCACCUAGAUUACUUCUAUUGGCUAAUUGCAGCAUUGAGCACUUUAAAUUUGUGUGUUUAUGUGUGGAUUGCUAAAGGUUUCGUAUACAAAAAACUUGAAGCUGAAGAAACCGGUAAGGAGAAAGAGCUGGCUUAAUGUGGAUGAUCAAGAAGUGAAGCUAUUGGCCUAUAUUGCAGUUGAGUACCUUAUAAAUAAGGAUGACAACUUAUAAGUUAUGAGCAUUUGUACUCGGAACCUCGAGCGCAACGGUAAACACCCUUCAACUAGUAGAGCUGUGCAACACCCCUUGCUUGCUUUCUUCAAAUCCCAUUUAAAUAAAAUUCAAUGGUCACUUUUUGUUGGAAACAUCAUAUGCAGAGCUGUAAUGCACACAGUCUCUCAAACAUUCUCUCUUCUUCAAUAAAUUGAAGACCCAACUCUUGAAUUCAACAUUUGACAUUUUUACAGAAUCAUAACAAUUUUAUUAUAAAAGGAAAAUUGAAUUCCCACAUUUUCUA